UGUGGUGGCGAUAGCCGGAAGGAUACACCUGUUCCCAUGCCGAACACAGAAGUUAAGCUUCCGCGCGCCGAAAGUAGUUGAGGGAUCGCCCUCUGCGAGGAUAGGUUGUUGCCACGC
rnacentral:rRNA from 2 species